CGCACUGUGGGUAUGCGUCGCUGUCGCGCGCGCUGCAGGCCAUGUUCCAUGGCUUCCUGUCAGGUCAGGGCAGAGCACGCACCCCUCGUCUUGCUUUGGGCAUGUCUCCA
rnacentral:pre_miRNA from 1 species